rnacentral:tRNA from 1 species
GCCCCGCCAGUAUGGUCGAUAUGACCCUCGGCUUGUAACCGAGUGGGUUUGGGUUUGAAUCCCGAGUAAGGCA